rnacentral:rRNA from 1 species
GGAAUAUUGGACAAUGGGGGCAACCCUGAUCCAGCCAUGCCGCGUGAGUGAUGAAGGCCCUAGGGUUGUAAAGCUCUUUCAGCGAGGAGGAUAAUGACGUUACUCGCAGAAGAAGCCCCGGCUAACUUCGUGCCAGCAGCCGCGGUAAUACGAAGGGGGCUAGCGUUGUUCGGAAUUACUGGGCGUAAAGCGCGCGUAGGCGGACUGGAAAGUUGGGGGUGAAAUCCCAGGGCUCAACCCUGGAACUGCCUCCAAAACUAUCAGUCUAGAGUUCGAGAGAGGUGAGUGGAAUUCCGAGUGUAGAGGUGAAAUUCGUAGAUAUUCGGAAGAACACCAGUGGCGAAGGCGGCUCACUGGCUCGAUACUGACGCUGAGGUGCGAAAGUGUGGGGAGCAAACAGGAUUAGAUACCCUGGUAGUCCACACCGUAAACGAUGAAUGCCAGUCGUCGGGUAGCAUGCUAUUCGGUGACACACCUAACGGAUUAAGCAUUCCGCCUGGGGAGUACGGUCGCAAGAUUAAAACUCAA